CUCGAUAGGGAGCUCCGUUGGGGGGAGGAGCCGAGGUACUCGACACACGCCCCCAUGCCUCGACGCAAACCAUAACCUCACUACAUACAGUAAGUUUCACCGACGACUGCUUUCUCAACUUGGUCCAAUACAAAGCUGGACUUGCGGAACGUCUGGAAAUGGAGUCCGGUUCAGUACCAACUCUCCUCGGCUCAGCGACAAAUCUCGGAGAAGCCAGCCCAUCAAUUGGUAACAUUCAGGUGUUUCUCUCAAGGGAUGUUGCCUGCCAUACAGACCACCUGGAAACAUAUACUGUAGCCACACGGCUAUCCUUAAAGACUUUCCGGCCCCACUUCACAAGUAAAGGAAAAGCAUCAUGACCAGCGCCCUGCAAAGAGACAAACUUGGGAGUUGUCUGCAGUACACAUUUUAAACCCUCGGUCUCAAUGAAGACUGCGAUGCCUUUGGAGACCGUAGCCCGCAGCGCGGCGCCACCUC